rnacentral:lncRNA from 1 species
CUAGAUAACAUAGGGGAAUUGUUUUUUGUUUAUCAUAUGAUUAUGAUAAUUGUCGUUGGAUUGAGUGAUGACUAAAACAACACAUAAAUAACCAAUUGGUAUUCUUGUUUUUUUUUUUUUUUAAAGAGUUUCUACCAUGUUAAUAUUACAUCAAUCCGUAUAUACAUGAACUCCGAUGAAUAUAGUGAACAGAGCUAUUCCAACUUAAGUUGAAUCUUGUUAUAGCUUAGACAAGGGAUCCCGAUUUGCCAAAUUGUCAACCUCCUCGAAUACGAUCCAUGCCAACAUCCCUAGUUAAUGAUACACCACACCACUUUCCAAAAUGGUUAAUGUAAGCAAACACUUCACAGAAUGUUCCCUGAGUCAACGCUUUACACACAUACAAUCAAACAAAAUUCAAGAUGCAGCUUCUUUCUUCAUGCACAAAUAGUUAGAUACGCAACGAUCUUGAGACAGUUAAUUAUAAUUCUAUCGACUCCUAACUAAUUCAAAUUCUUACAACCAACAUAUGCUACGUAAUGCCGACUCCUAAACAUGCAGACAUUGGAACACAUGCAAUCAUUAAGACAGAUAUUGAGAUAUAGAUAAGAGAGAAGCCUGAGGACAAGAACAUCGUUAUUUAAGUUAAUCUGGAUCACUAGCCAGAAAUCACACCUGCCACAUGGAAAGCUUGAGAAAUAUUAUUAUAUCAGUACAUAAAGGUUAUUUAAGUUAAUCUGGAUCACUAGCCAGAAACAACGAUCAAGUAUCGGCAUCAAUAUGUCCAGUGUUAUUCAACAUACCCUGUUGUCUUCAGGUUCCUGAAAGAAAUGAUGAAUUCCCUAUGCACACAAGAGACCAGACAAACAACAAGAGAUAACCUUGCCCUCAAGAGCAAGAGGGAG